rnacentral:rRNA from 1 species
CGCGAAUGGCUCAUUAAAUCAGCUAUGAUUCCUUGGAUCAUAAUACUACAUGGAUAACUGUAGUAAUUCUAGAGCUAAUACAUGCCUCGAUGCCCUGAACCGUAAGGUGAGGGGUGCAUUUAUUAGAUCGCAAACCAAACGGGCUUGCCCGUGGCUUGUGAUGACUCUGGAUAACUUUGUAUGAUCGCAGUCGGCCCUGUUGUCGGCGACGGAUUCAUUAAAUGUCUGCCCUAUCAACUUUAGAUGGUAGGUGAUAUGCCUACCAUGGUGAUGACGGGUAACGGGGAAUCAGGGUUCGAUUCCGGAGAGGGAGCCUGAGAAACGGCUACCACAUCCAAGGAAGGCAGCAGGCGCGCAAAUUACCCACUCUCUGAACGAGGAGGUAGUGAAGAUAAAUAUCGAUACAGGACUCUAUGAGGCUCUGUAAUCGAAAUGAGUGCAUUUUAAAUCCUACAACGAGGAUCUACUGGAGGGCAAGUCUGGUGCCAGCAGCCGCGGUAAUUCCAGCUCCAGAAGCGUAUAUUAAAGUUGCUGCAGUUAAAAAGCUCGUAGUUGGAUCUGGACUAUGAUGUGAUUGCCAUGUCCGGGGUUGGGCUGCCUUAAACAGUGGCCUAGCUCAGGCUGGUUGUUUUGCAUCUAGUCUCAUAGCUGUGUCUGUGUGGCCUUCACCGGCCGCAUGGAUGAUGUUGGGUGCCUGGUACUUACCCCCUUUUCGGGGGUUUGUCCGGCCCAGUGUUAUGUUCUGUGUAUGCCCUUAACCGGGUGACCAGGACGGACAGCAUGUUUACUUUGAACAAAUUUGAGUGCUCAAAGCAGGCCGAUUGUUGCCUGAAAAGUCUUGCAUGGAAUAAUGGAAUAGGACUUCGGUCCUAUUUUGUUGGUUUGAUAGAACCGAAGUAAUGAUAAAGAGAGACAGACGGGGGCAUUUGUAUGGCGGCGCGAGAGGUGAAAUUCGUGGACCGUCGCCAGACAACCUAAAGCGAAAGCAUCUGCCAAGUAUGUUUUCAUUUACCAGGAGCGAAAGUCAGAGGUUCGAAGACGAUCAGAUACCGUCCUAGUUCUGACCAUAAACGAUGCCAACUGACGAUCCGUGUGUACUCUAUCAUCAUGAGUCCACGGGCAGUCUCCGGGAAACCUGUAAGUCUAUGGGUUCCGGGGAAAGUAUGGUUGCAAAGCUGAAACUUAAAGGAAUUGACGGAAGGGCACCACCAGGAGUGGAGCUUGCGGCUUAAUUUGACUCAACACGGGAAAACUCACCCGACCCGGACACUGUGAGGAUUGACAGAUUAAAAGCUCUUUCUUGAUUCGGUGGCUAGUGGUGCAUGGCCGUUCUUAGUUCGUGGUAUGAGUUGUCUGGUUAAUUCCGAUAACGAACGAGACUCUAACCUGCUAAAUAGUAAACUUGCAGCAUUAUGGAGACCUUCACGGGUGGGCUUCGUGCUUGCCCGUGACCUUCGUAAGCAAGUGAGACUUCUUAGAGGGACUGGUGUCCUACAG